rnacentral:rRNA from 1 species
GGUGGAUAACGCAUCGAAAGAUGUGCUAAUACAGCAUAAUCUCUGAGGAGGAAAGGCGGGGACCUUCGGGCCUGUCGCUGAAAGAGCGGCCGAUGGCUGAUUAGCUAGUUGGAGGGGUAAAAGCCCACCAAGGCGAUGAUCAGUAGCUGUUCUGAGAGGAAGAUCAGCCACACUGGGACUGAGACACGGCCCAGACUCCUACGGGAGGCAGCAGUGGGGAAUUUUGGACAAUGGGGGGAACCCUGAUCCAGCAACGCCGCGUGAAUGAAGAAGGCCUUCGGGUUGUAAAGUUCUUUUGUCGCAGAGCAAAAGGUAGGUGCUAAUACCACCUGCUGAUGAGAGUAUGCGAAGAAUAAGCACCGGCUAACUACGUG